AGGACGAACGCUGGCGGCGUGCCUAACACAUGCAAGUCGCACGAGAAAGGGGAGCAAUCCCUGAGUAAAGUGGCGCACGGGUGAGUAACACGUGAAUGAUCUACCUCCGAGUGGGGAAUAACUGAGAGAAAUCUUAGCUAAUACCGCAUAACACUUACGAGUCAAAGCAGCAAUGCGCUUGGAGAGGAGUUCGCGGCCGAUUAGCUAGUUGGCGGGGUAAUGGCCCACCAAGGCGAUGAUCGGUA
rnacentral:rRNA from 1 species